rnacentral:rRNA from 1 species
GACGAACGCUGGCGGCGUGCUUAACACAUGCAAGUCGAACGGAAAGGCCCUGCUUUUGUGGGGUGCUCGAGUGGCGAACGGGUGAGUAACACGUGAGUAACCCGCCCUUGACUUUGGGAUAACUUCAGGAAACUGGGGCUAAUACCGGAUAGGAGCUCCUGCUGCAUGGUGGGGGUUGGAAAGUUUCGGCGGUUGGGGAUGGACUCGCGGCUUAUCAGCUUGUUGGUGGGGUAGUGGCUUACCAAGGCUUUGACGGGUAGCCGGCCUGAGAGGGUGACCGGCCACAUUGGGACUGAGAUACGGCCCAGACUCCUACGGGAGGCAGCAGUGGGGAAUAUUGCACAAUGGGCGGAAGCCUGAUGCAGCAACGCCGCGUGCGGGAUGACGGCCUUCGGGUUGUAAACCGCUUUCGCCUGUGACGAAGCGUGAGUGACGGUAAUGGGUAAAGAAGCACCGGCUAACUACGUGCCAGCAGCCGCGGUGAUACGUAGGGUGCGAGCGUUGUCCGGAUUUAUUGGGCGUAAAGGGCUCGUAGGUGGUUGAUCGCGUCGGAAGUGUAAUCUUGGGGCUUAACCCUGAGCGUGCUUUCGAUACGGGUUGACUUGAGGAAGGUAGGGGAGAAUGGAAUUCCUGGUGGAGCGGUGGAAUGCGCAGAUAUCAGGAGGAACACCAGUGGCGAAGGCGGUUCUCUGGGCCUUUCCUGACGCUGAGGAGCGAAAGCGUGGGGAGCGAACAGGCUUAGAUACCCUGGUAGUCCACGCUGUAAACGGUGGGUACUAGGUGUGGGGUCCAUUCCACGGGUUCCGUGCCGUAGCUAACGCUUUAAGUACCCCGCCUGGGGAGUACGGCCGCAAGGCUAAAACUCAAAGGAAUUGACGGGGCCCCCGCACAAGCGGCGGAGCAUGCGGAUUAAUUCGAUGCAACGCGUAGAACCUUACCUGGGUUUGACAUGGAUCGGGAGUGCUCAGAGAUGGGUGUGCCUCUUUUGGGGUCGGUUCACAGGUGGUGCAUGGCUGUCGUCAGCUCGUGUCGUGAGAUGUUGGGUUAAGUCCCGCAACGAGCGCAACCCUUGUUCACUGUUGCCAGCACGUUAUGGUGGGGACUCAGUGGAGACCGCCGGGGUCAACUCGGAGGAAGGUGGGGAUGACGUCAAGUCAUCAUGCCCCUUAUGUCCAGGGCUUCACGCAUGCUACAAUGGCUGGUACAGAGAGUGGCGAGCCUGUGAGGGUGAGCGAAUCUCGGAAAGCCGGUCUCAGUUCGGAUUGGGGUCUGCAACUCGACCUCAUGAAGUCGGAGUCGCUAGUAAUCGCAGAUCAGCAACGCUGCGGUGAAUACGGUUCCCGGGGCU